rnacentral:rRNA from 1 species
CACAUGACUCUCGGCAACGGAUAUCUCGGCUCUCGCAUCGAUGAAGAACGUAGCGAAAUGCGAUACCUGGUGUGAAUUGCAGAAUCCCGCGAACCAUCGAGUCUUUGAACGCAAGUUGCGCCCGAGGCCACCUGGUUGAGGGCACGCCUGCCUGGGCGUCACGC